GUACACGCUGUGACUAGCAUAUCAAUAAGCGGAGGAAAAGAAACUAACAAGGAUUCCCCUAGUAACGGCGAGUGAAGCGGGAAGAGCUCAAAUUUGAAAUCUUAAAGGGUUUCCCUUUACGAAUUGUAGUUUAAAGAAGUGUUUUCUGUUGAGGUUUUGGUAAAAGUUCUUUGGAAUAGGACAUCAUAGAGGGUGAGAAUCCCGUAUUUGACCUUUACUUUCAACUUUGUGAUACACUUUCAAAGAGUCGGAUUGUUUGGGAAUGCAGUCCAAAAUGGGUGGUAAAUUUCAUCUAAAGCUAAAUAUUGGCGAGAGACCGAUAGCGAACAAGUACCGUGAGGGAAAGAUGAAAAGAACUUUGAAAGAGAGUUAAACAGUACGUGAAAUUGUCAAAAGGGAAGCGUUUGACACCAGUGUUGUUUUUCUGAAAAUCAAUUAAAGAACUGUUUAUGCUAAGCUGUUUAGACUUUAUCAGCUAACUGUUUAGUUUUGAGCUUUUCUUUAAUGCACUUUUCAGUUAACAAGUCAACAUCAAUUUCUUUUGCUGUAAAAAAGCUUGAGGAAGGUGGCUUGAGAUUCGUCUUAAGUGUUUAUAGCCUCUUGCCUAUGCAGUCGGAGAGAUUGAGGUCUGCAGCGUAGAUCCUUCGGGGCUAAAUGCAUUUGUGCUAAGUUAUAACAUUUUAUAGACAACUUGUUGACUAUGAUUUGUCUUGUAGCUUACUCGCUUAUGUUAUUUUACCUACGCUUAGGAUGUUGACGCGCGUGUGUGCGUG
rnacentral:rRNA from 1 species